rnacentral:tRNA from 1 species
ACUCCCAUCGUCUAUCGGCUAGGACAUAAGGUUUUCAUCCUUAAAAGCGGGGUUCGAUUCCCCGUGGGAGUGCCA